AUGUCAUUUCCUUCAUGCAUUUUUUUGUAUUGGGUACCUGGGUCUAAUUAUCUGAUUCUCCAUAAGACCAUCAUAAGAAAUACUCCCUCUGUUCACUUUUAUAAGACCUUGAAGACAUUUCAGACAAUGUGCAAAACAGCUCAUUUUGAGUUGUCUGAAACGACUUACAAAAGUGAACGUAGGGAGUACUACAUGUUGCACUUAUUCACAUACGACUACAACUUAAAAAAUCAAUUUCAGAUGGGCCAUUUUCUAGCCCAAAGUUAUGUUAGAACUGAGAUACUCCUUUUCUUGCAGAUAAAAAAGGAAGAGAAACAUUGA
rnacentral:rRNA from 1 species